rnacentral:rRNA from 1 species
UGAUGCCAGGCAAAUCCGGCAUCAGAGCUGAAACCUGAAAGUACGGGGUCCCCUUCGGGGGAACCUGAGAGCGAGGGUAACCAUACUCCCGAGAAAAUGGGCUAAACUCAUGUUGGCGGUACCCGUACCGCAAACCGACACAGGUAGUUGGGUAGAACAUACUAAGGCGUUGAGAGAUUCAUGGCUAAGGAACUAGGCAAACUGACCCCGUAACUUCGGGAUAAGGGGUCCUCACCUCCGGGUGAGGCGCAGAGAAUAGGUCCAGGCAACUGUUUAACAAAAACACAGGGCUGUGCGAACUCGAAAGAUGAAGUAUACAGCCUGACACCUGCCCGGUGCCGGAAGGUUAAGAGGAGAUGUCACCGCAAGGGAAGCAUUGAAUUGAAGCCCCGGUAAACGGCGGCCGUAACAAUAACGGUCCUAAGGUAGCGAAAUUCCUUGUCGGGUAAGUUCCGACCUGCACGAAUGGUGUAAUGAUCCGGACGCUGUCUCGGCCAUGAGCUCAGUGAAAUUGUAGUAUCGGUGAAGAUGCCGAUUACCCGCGAUGGGACGAAAAGACCCCGUGAACCUUUACUACAGCUUAGCAUUGACCUUGGUCAUCCGAUGUGUAGGAUAGGCCGGAGGCUUCGAAGCGGCGUCGCCAGGCGUUGUGGAGCCAUCCUUGAAAUACGGCCCUUUGGCUGUCUGAGGUCUAACGUGCGAUGUGCGGACACUGCUUGGUGGGUAGUUUGACUGGGGUGGUCGCCUCCAAAAGCGUAACGGAGGCUUCCAAAGGUGCCCUCGGGCCGUUUGGUAAGCGGCCUUCAAGAGUGCAAUGGCAAAAGGGCGCUUGACUGGGAGGGAGACAUCCCGAGCAGGCAGGAAACUGGGGCAUAGUGAUCCGGCGGAUGUGUAUGGAAACUCCGUCGCUCAAAGGAUAAAAGGUACUCCGGGGAUAACAGGCUGAUCCCCCCCAAGAGCUCAUAUCGACGGGGUGGUUUGGCACCUCGAUGUCGGCUCGUCACAUCCUGGGGCUGGAGAAGGUCCCAAGGGUUGGGCUGUUCGCCCAUUAAAGUGGCACGCGAGCUGGGUUCAGAACGUCGUGAGACAGUUCGGUCUCUAUCUAUCGUGGGCGCAGGAGUUUUGAGUGGUGCUGUCACUAGUACGAGAGGACCGUGACGGACAGACCUCCGGUGUACCGGUUGUGCCGCCAGGCGCACCGCCGGGUAUCCGCGUCUGGAUCGGAUAAGCGCUGAAAGCAUCUAAGUGCGAAGCUUUCCACGAAAUUAGAACUCCAUUGAGGGUCGUCGCAGACGACGACGUUGAUAGGGCGCAGGUGUAAAGACGGCGACGUCAAAGCCGAGCGCUACUAAUUGCCCAA